rnacentral:rRNA from 1 species
GAUGAACGCUGGCGGCGUGCUUAACACAUGCAAGUCGAACGGAAAGGCCCAAGCUUGCUUGGGUACUCGAGUGGCGAACGGGUGAGUAACACGUGGGUGAUCUGCCCUGCACUUCGGGAUAAGCCUGGGAAACUGGGUCUAAUACCGGAUAGGACCACAUUUUGGAUGGUGUGGUGGAAAGUUUUUCGGUGUGGGAUGAGCUCGCGGCCUAUCAGCUUGUUGGUGGGGUAAUGGCCUACCAAGGCGUCGACGGGUAGCCGGCCUGAGAGGGGGUACGGCCACAUUGGUACUGCGAUACGGCCCAGACUCCUACGGGAGGCAGCAGUGGGGAAUAUUGCACAAGGGGCGCAAGCCUGAUGCAGCGACGCCGCGUGGGGGAUGACGGCCUUCGGGUUGUAAACUCCUUUCGCUAGGGACGAAGCGCAAGUGACGGUACCUGGAGAAGAAGCACCGGCUAACUACGUG